rnacentral:tRNA from 1 species
GCCCAGCUAGUUCAGUGGGUAGAGCAAGAGACUCUUAAUCUCAGUGUUGUGGGUUCAAGCCCCAUGUUGGGAG